AGGGCUCAGUGGUAGAGCACUUACCUUGCAUGUGUGAGGCACUGAGUUCAAUUCUCAGU
rnacentral:tRNA from 1 species